CCCGGUGACAAAACAGAGAGGUGGAAACACCCGAUCCCAUUCCGAACUCGGCCGUUAAGCACCUCAUCGCCGAUGGUACUGCGAUCACACACGUGGGAGAGUAGGUCGUUGCCGGGG
rnacentral:rRNA from 1 species